rnacentral:rRNA from 1 species
GAGGAAUCGGCAGCUACCAUGCAGUCGACGGCAGCGGGAAGGAGCUUGCUCCUUUGCCGGCGAGUGGCGCACGGGUGCGUAACGCGUAUACAACCUACCUUAUACAGGGGUAUAGCCCAGGGAAACUUGGAUUAACACCCCAUAGUAAUAUGUUUUGGCAUCAUUACAUAUUUAAAACUACGGUGGUAUAAGAUGGGUAUGCGUCCCAUUAGCUUGUUGGUGUGGUAACGGCACACCAAGGCAACGAUGGGUAGGGGCCCUGAGAGGGGGAUCCCCCACACUGGUACUGAGACACGGACCAGACUCCUACGGGAGGCAGCAGUGAGGAAUAUUGGACAAUGGGCGGGAGCCUGAUCCAGCCAUGCCGCGUGCAGGAAGACUGCCCUAUGGGUUGUAAACUGCUUUUAUACGGGAAGAAACCCACCUACGUGUAGGUGGCUGACGGUACCGUAAGAAUAAGGACCGGCUAACUCCGUGCCAGCAGCCGCGGUAAUACGGAGGGUCCGAGCGUUAUCCGGAAUCAUUGGGUUUAAAGGGUCCGCAGGCGGCCAGAUAAGUCAGUGGUGAAAUUCCGUGGCUCAACCACGGAACUGCCAUUGAUACUGUUUGGCUUGAAUCAGUUCGAGGAUGCCGGAAUGUGUGGUGUAGCGGUGAAAUGCAUAGAUAUCACACAGAACACCAAUUGCGAAGGCAGGUGUCCAGAACUGUAUUGACGCUGAUGGACGAAAGCGUGGGUAGCGAACAGGAUUAGAUACCCUGGUAGUCCACGCCGUAAACGAUGGUCACUAGCUGUCCGGACUUAGGUCUGGGUGGCCAAGCGAAAGUGAUAAGUGACCCACCUGGGGAGUACGUUCGCAAGAAUGAAACUCAAAGGAAUUGACGGGGGCCCGCACAAGCGGUGGAGCAUGUGGUUUAAUUCGAUGAUACGCGAGGAACCUUACCAGGGCUUAAAUGCAUUAUGACAGGGGUGGAGACACCCUUUUCUUCGGACAUUUUGCAAGGUGCUGCAUGGUUGUCGUCAGCUCGUGCCGUGAGGUGUU